rnacentral:misc_RNA from 1 species
GUCUGGUAUAGGUUCUUUCUCAACAAAGAUUAUGGAAGCCUUUUUUCAUCACUGAUAACAGGAUUGUACUUGACGUUUAAGCUUACAUCAAUCGUUGAGAAGGUUCGGUCAUUCCUUACUGCUUUGAAGGCACUGUCAAUUAAGGAAAUCCAUUAUGGGUCACAUGCCACACCUGAACAGGUAAAUGCAGCUGGUGAUCUAUGUGCUAUUUGCCAAGAGAAGA